UACAGAGGUCUCAAGCGUUGUUCGGAUUCAUUGGGCGUAAAGGGCGCGUAGGCGGCGGGGUAAGUCGGGUGUGAAAUCUCAGGGCUCAACCCUGAAACUGCACUCGAUACUGCUCUGCUUGAGGACUGGAGAGGAGACUGGAAUUCACGGUGUAGCAGUGAAAUGCGUGGAUAUCGUGAGGAAGACCAGUGGCGAAGGCGGGUCUCUGGACAGUUCCUGACGCUGAGGCGCGAAGGCCAGGGGAGCAAACGGG
rnacentral:rRNA from 1 species